AUUUAAACUAAGCUUAAUAGUUGUGGUUGUCGAAGGUAUUGGUUUUGUGUACGAUGAAACUUCUUGGUGGUGCAAUAAAUUUGAAAAAUGGUAUAGAGCCAUGGAUUUAGUGUUCUUGGCAUGGAAGCUCAUCAAGAAGAAGCAAGAAACGACAAUGUACAUAAGAUAAAAUUGUUGAAAACACUCAACCAUAGCUAUUGGCCUAUUUUUCGAACAAACUAUCCGUUGAUUGAGUGAAUGACAACCAUAUAAUUGCUCCAGAAGAUGAGGCGCACUUUCGUGAUCGGUGCAUGCAACACGUGGAAGUGUAGAGACGGUGAUGCGUGAAGUCUACGCACAAUUUCGACGAUGCGUUGCACUAUUUUGACAAUGAUCUUCAAAGGCAAUUUGUUCCCACCGUACUAUGGACCAUUUGGUGGUGUGUGUUUUGUGUUUCUGGCAAUACGCUAAUUCUCGACAAUUUUACCCUUGAAAGUUCACUUGACGAGUGCUAUUGUUGCGUUGCUGUCGAGCGAACAGUGGUUGUUCUGAAGUUGUAAAAUUCACAUCUCUUGUUAAUUUACGAACCGACAAAAUGAUCUACUCAAUAUAUUGUUCUUUCUUUUUCAUUACUGUAGUUAAAGCUAUCGUUGGGAUAGCCAUUAACUUUUCGCAUUAGGGGUCAUCUUGUGGGUGUGGUUGUUAGUUUUGGGAUUAUCGUGUGGGUGCUAGAUUAUCAUUUGCUAAUUUGUGCCUCGAAUUCUUUGUAAAUUUUAUAUAUUAAGUUCUUUGUAUACUUGAUAUAUUGUGCUUUAGUUUAGUUUUGUUUGUUUUUUUUUUUUUUGUUUUUGUUUUUUUUUGUUAUGUUGUUGAUAUCUUUGUCAUAUUUUGGCCAUUAGUAUUAUUUAUGACCUAGGGUAAGCUUGUUAGGCUAUUCUACGUGAUUUGUGCCUCAACUUUCCUUGUGGUUAUUGCUUGGUUGCAUUCUGUAUUUUGUGCAUUUUUAAGUAAAAUGACAAUACAAUUUGAGUUGGGUAUUUUUAAUGGCUAAGAUGAUUUUUCGAUUUGCCAACAAAAAAUGAAAGGCCCAAUUUAAUGUUCAGUCUAAGUCGGGAGUGAAAGGCAAAAUGUAAAGAUGUUAUAGGUUCGUAAAUUUGGAUAAUUUAUAAGAGACUGUCAUAAAAAGAACAAUAAACAGAAAGAAGAAAUGAGAGAUGAGGUGAACGUUGUCAUUAGGUCUAGUUAUGACCAGAGCGAGGUUUAUUCAUAAUAAACUCUCUUGUGGUUACUAUUACAUUCACAUCUGUGUGUGAAAUCUCAUUUACAUUAAUAAUUGCUUGAUUCUUUACAUCUUAUUAUGAUUGGUGUGUACAUUUCCAUGAAUUUAAUAUUGCUUAUGUUACUAAAUGUAAAGUAUUGUGUGCAUAGCGGUUAGGAUUGCCAUUGUGAGGUUUGAAACUAGGUGUGUUUUCACGUUAAUAGGUGCAUUAGUAGAAAUUUGACCAAAUGGUAAUAUUGAUAAUAGAUGCCUGAGGGCACGUUGGUGACAUGUAUAGGGAAUGUGUAGGAUUGGCAUUUAAAUUACUAGAGUUGAGGUGAUUGAAUGUUUUGGAAUUCUCUAUUUGUUAAAAUCCCGAAUGAGUUGAAAGUGUGACACUCCUAUUACCUCUAUUAGGUGGAGACACAUUAUUUACCAAGUUUGAGAGAUGUGAGAUAGUGGUAGAGGAAUAUCCCACUGGCUCAAGAUCUUUAGUGAUUUAAAAGUUAGACAAGAGGGGUGCACAAUCUAGUGAACAUAGCUAGUGAUGAGAGGAGUGGCGUGUUCUCUAGAUAUGAGCUACACAGAAUGUGAUAGGGUAAUUGUGGAGGGACCUUUUCUUGGGAACAUUCAUGCAUUGGUUGCAUCUGUUGACUAUUUAUUUUAUUAACUUGGUGUUAAUUUGUUGUUCUCUUGUACAUUGAACACGUUGAAAAGAUCUGUGUAUUAUCAUAUGGUGUGCUCUCAUUGAAUGUUUAGUCAUCUAUAAUUGUGUAUUAUUAUGUGCUCUUGAUUGAGUCCUGAAUGAAUGUAAGUUGUUUACAUUGUCUUUAUGAUAACAUGUGUUGUUUUGUCUAAAGUUGAAUUCCUUAUUAGUUAGGUAUAAAAUGUGUAUAUUGGUUCACUAUGCAAUUUUUUAUAAUACUGGAGUUUAAAGUUUGCCCUUGGUGAGUACACUUAGCAGGUAAGGUAUAUGUUUUGGGUAAGAGAUAUUGGUAAGUUCUUUGACUUCCAAUUUAGCCCCAGUCUGGCCCCUAUUAAAUUACUUUCCAUUACAUUCUAUUUUUCUCUUAUAUUUUCAACCACACAAUCUUCCAUAAAAUAAUAUUACACGUAAAUCGAACAUUUUC
rnacentral:lncRNA from 1 species